GCCUGAGCAAUGUAGGUAGACUGUUUCUAAAAAAAUAAAAAGUUAAAAAAAUUUAUGUUAACGUGUAAUGUGUUUACUAAUUUUUUUUUUUUUUUUUGGAGACAGAGUCUCCCUCUGUCGCCAGGC
ensembl:miRNA MIR3908 microRNA 3908